AUACAGUCCAAAUGACGUUCACGUGCCAUUGCGGUGUCGAACUUACAGGGGUAACACCCCUGUUCCAGCACCUGAGGCGGUGCGUCAAGCGCCGCCUCUUUCUCAUCAUAUAUUGGGACAAAUGUGGAGAAAGGCUGGUGGGAGGCCCAGCCGUGGUCGCCCACCUCACGGGUACGGCCCAUCUAACCCGUUACUGGGAGGGUCGGCAAGUCGGACUGCUGUUGCAGUCCGACUACCGGGACGCCGUAGAGCGUAUUAAGACCCUAUGAUGAUGUAUGAAGGUCUGGGGCUGCCGUCUUCAGGAUGUGCCACUUGUUUCAAAAUUAUUUGUAAGUACUUGUAACAGGCGUAGUGUAGUAACUGUGCGUGCAGUGUAGUAACAGUGUGUAGUGUUUUGUGAUGGUACUGUGCUAUAGCAG